UUAAAGUUUUAUUCUGGCUUGGGAAUUUCUUUAGUAUAUUAUUUUACAUGUAAGUUUAUGCGUGAAUUACUGUAUCUUAAAUAGUGGGUUCUUUUAUUCGCAGUAUAAAGUAUUAUAUUAUCAAGGGGUCUUGGAUUUAGAAAUAUACGUUAAUGUUGACCAAGCUUGUGCCAGCAGUUGCGGUUACACAAGCAGCGUGAAGAAAUUAGGUUGGCUGAAAUUUGUUUGUUAAUUUUAAUAGUUUAAUAUUUAAUUUAUUAGGUGAAAUUUUAAAUUGAAUUUGUAUUAUUAUGGAUUUAUUGAAGUUAAGAAAUUUAGUUUUAAACUAGGAUUAGAUACCCUAUUAUUUUAAAUGUAUUUAUAAAGGCCUAAUUAGUAUUAGUUAUGUUCUUGAAAGUUAAAGAAUUUGGCGGUAUUUUAGUCUAUCCAGAGGAACCUGUCCUGUAAUCGAUAAUCCACGAUUUUUUAUACUUGUUUUAAAUAAGUUUAUAUAUCGUCGUGGUUGAAUAUUUUAGGAGAAUUAUAAUGUUCAGGAUUUUUUAUUAUAUAGGAAUUCAGAUCAAGGUGUAGCUUAUAGACAAGCAGAGAUGGGUUACAUUAAAGUAAUUUUUGGAUUAGUGAAGUUUAUUUUUCUAUGAAAUUGGAUUUGGAAGUAAUUGGGUUUAAAUUUUUCCAGUGAUUUUAGCUCUAAAAUAUGCACAUAUUGCCCGUCACUUUUGUUUUAAGAUAAAAUAAGUCGUAACAUAGUGGACUCACUGGAAAGUGAGUCCAGAAGGAG
rnacentral:ncRNA from 1 species